rnacentral:lncRNA from 1 species
GCGCCCGACGCGCGCUGCAGGUGGCAAGUUGGAGGCGCUGCCACCAACGCUGCAGGAGAAGCCCGGGUCUGGCAACCCCUUGCAGCUACCGGGAGCCCUUUCCCGCCGCUGAGUCCGAGCUCAGACCCGGGAAAAGCCGAAGGGAACAGCCGCUGUGCAGGGACUAAGAGCAGCGCUCGGUCUCGGUGCCCUUGCACUACUUUGUUUUCUCUGAGGAAGGUUGUGCCUGGGGGCUGGGAACAGGUUCGGAAAGGAAUCAAGAGCAAGGCUUCUGCUAUCCAGGAUCAGACUCAGAAUCCAAGCCAGACCAGGAGGCUGAGCCCCAGGAGGCAGCAGGACCUCAGGAGCAAGCAGGGGCACAGGCUGCACCUGAGCCUGCUGGCGGAAACGUCGAGGAGCAGCCAGGACUAGAGCAGUUCCCUGAAGCUGCUGCACACAGCACGCCGGUGAAGAGGGAGGUCAGCGACAAAGACCGGGACUUCGCCGCCGCAGCUGCGAAACAGCUUGAGUAUCAGCAGUUUGAGGACGAUAAGCUCUCUCAGAAGUCAUCCAGCAGCAAACUCUCACGGUCCCCAUUGAAGAUCGUGAAAAGGCCUAAAAGCAUGCAGUGCAAAGUGACGCUUCUGGAUGGAUCUGAGUACGGCUGUGAUGUAGAUAAGCGCUCCCGAGGACAAGUGCUGUUUGACAAAGUGUGCGAACAUCUGAACUUGCUAGAAAAAGACUACUUCGGUCUCACGUAUCGAGACGCAGAGAAUCAGAAGAACUGGUUGGACCCUGCUAAGGAAAUUAAAAAGCAGAUUCGAA